CUUUUUUUUUUUUUUUUGGAUUUUUACACUUACGAUCUUUAAUCUGUUGGACUGUAUCCCUUAGGCUUCGCUUUGAAUUGUGUGUCCUCUGGGCACUUGUAUAGGAAGUAUGUUUUAUUCUUCUUACUAGAUUAUUUAAACUCCAAUGAUGGGGGCUGUUGACCUCCCCCCUCCUUGCAAUGAGUGCUUUCAAAGCAUUUCUUAAAGGAGAUUAAUGGCUUGUUGCUGUACUAUUUGUCAUUUUUAUGUUGUCUGUGUGCAGUGUGCAUGUUUGCAAGUGGACCUCUAGCUUGUACAUGUGUCACUACAAGAAACAAGAUUCCUUGGUCUCGACCUGUUAGUGCUAUUCACUGUUGAGCAAUAAUCUAACAAACCUAAAAUUUGUUCCCCACCCUUUCCAUGUGAAUCGUUUUAACCUCUUUCUGCCAGCCAAAUGGAACACAUUUGUAUUUUGUUGGUUGCUCAUGUGAUUAUUAUAUUAUGCUUUGGUGGUUUAUUACUGUCCAGUUGAUCAUGGUUAAUGGCCAAAAUAUUAGUCAUGGAAAACUCUCAUCUGCGGGAGACUGUAUAAUGGGAUUCCAAUCUUUCUUUGCACUUUUUUUCUUUGUGAAUUAAGUGUGUUGGCAGGUCUGAUUAAGUGUCAUCUAGCAUCACUAUGUCAUUUUUGCUUGCAGAUAUUCUCUAUGAUUCAUGGUCCCCAGCUAUGACUGUGAGUUCUAUCUGUAUAAGCAUCCUCUCCAUGCUGUCGAGCGCGACUGUGAAGGUUUGUUUCAAAUUUUCAAAUAGUUAAAAUAUAUUCUUCAAAAAAAAUAUAUUCUUGCUAUUACCUUUCUUCCUAGUUAAGGUAUUAUCGUAUCUCUCAUAUAUGCUCUACUGUGAUGCAGCAACGCCCUGUUGAUAAUGAUCGCUAUGUGAAGAACUGUAAGAGUGGCAGAUCUCCCAAAGAGACAAGAUGGUGGUUCCAUGAUGAUAAAGUG
rnacentral:misc_RNA from 1 species